rnacentral:rRNA from 1 species
AGAGUUUGAUCCUGGCUCAGGAUGAACGCUGGCGGCGUGCCUAAUACAUGCAAGUCGAGCGAACGGACGAGAAGCUUGCUUCUCUGAUGUUAGCGGCGGACGGGUGAGUAACACGUGGAUAACCUACCUAUAAGACUGGGAUAACUUCGGGAAACCGUAGCUAAUACCGGAUAAUAUUUUGAACCGCAUGGUUCAAAAGUGAAAGACGGUCUUGCUGUCACUUAUAGAUGGAUCCGCGCUGCAUUAGCUAGUUGGUAAGGUAACGGCUUACCAAGGCAACGAUGCAUAGCCGACCUGAGAGGGUGAUCGGCCACACUGGAACUGAGACACGGUCCAGACUCCUACGGGAGGCAGCAGUAGGGAAUCUUCCGCAAUGGGCGAAAGCCUGACGGAGCAACGCCGCGUGAGUGAUGAAGGUCUUCGGAUCGUAAAACUCUGUUAUUAGGGAAGAACAUAUGUGUAAGUAACUGUGCACAUCUUGACGGUACCUAAUCAGAAAGCCACGGCUAACUACGUGCCAGCAGCCGCGGUAAUACGUAGGUGGCAAGCGUUAUCCGGAAUUAUUGGGCGUAAAGCGCGCGUAGGCGGUUUUUUAAGUCUGAUGUGAAAGGCCACGGCUCAACCGUGGAGGGUCAUUGGAAACUGGAAAACUUGAGUGCAGAAGAGGAAAGUGGAAUUCCAUGUGUAGCGGUGAAAUGCGCAGAGAUAUGGAGGAACACCAGUGGCGAAGGCGACUUUCUGGUCUGUAACUGACGCUGAUGUGCGAAAGCGUGGGGAUCAAACAGGAUUAGAUACCCUGGUAGUCCACGCCGUAAACGAUGAGUGCUAAGUGUUAGGGGGUUUCCGCCCCUUAGUGCUGCAGCUAACGCAUUAAGCACUCCGCCUGGGGAGUACGACCGCAAGGUUGAAACUCAAAGGAAUUGACGGGGACCCGCACAAGCGGUGGAGCAUGUGGUUUAAUUCGAAGCAACGCGAAGAACCUUACCAAAUCUUGACAUCCUUUGACAACUCUAGAGAUAGAGCCUUCCCCUUCGGGGGACAAAGUGACAGGUGGUGCAUGGUUGUCGUCAGCUCGUGUCGUGAGAUGUUGGGUUAAGUCCCGCAACGAGCGCAACCCUUAAGCUUAGUUGCCAUCAUUAAGUUGGGCACUCUAAGUUGACUGCCGGUGACAAACCGGAGGAAGGUGGGGAUGACGUCAAAUCAUCAUGCCCCUUAUGAUUUGGGCUACACACGUGCUACAAUGGACAAUACAAAGGGCAGCGAAACCGCGAGGUCAAGCAAAUCCCAUAAAGUUGUUCUCAGUUCGGAUUGUAGUCUGCAACUCGACUACAUGAAGCUGGAAUCGCUAGUAAUCGUAGAUCAGCAUGCUACGGUGAAUACGUUCCCGGGUCUUGUACACACCGCCCGUCACACCACGAGAGUUUGUAACACCCGAAGCCGGUGGAGUAACCUUUUAGGAGCUAGCCGUCGAAGGUGGGACAAAUGAUUGGGGUGAAGUCGUAACAAGGUAGCCGUAUCGGAAGGUGCGGCUG